AUUGAACGCUGGCGGCAGGCCUAACACAUGCAAGUCGAGCGGAUGAGUGGAGCUUGCUCCAUGAUUCAGCGGCGGACGGGUGAGUAAUGCCUAGGAAUCUGCCUGGUAGUGGGGGACAACGUUUCGAAAGGAACGCUAAUACCGCAUACGUCCUACGGGAGAAAGUGGGGGACCUUCGGACCUCACGCUAUCAGAUGAGCCUAGGUCGGAUUAGCUAGUUGGUGAGGUAAAGGCUCACCAAGGCGACGAUCCGUAACUGGUCUGAGAGGAUGAUCAGUCACACUGGAACUGAGACACGGUCCAGACUCCUACGGGAGGCAGCAGUGGGGAAUAUUGGACAAUGGGCGAAAGCCUGAUCCAGCCAUGCCGCGUGUGUGAAGAAGGUCUUCGGAUUGUAAAGCACUUUAAGUUGGGAGGAAGGGCAGUAAGUUAAUACCUUGCUGUUUUGACGUUACCAACAGAAUAAGCACCGGCUAACUUCGUGCCAGCCGCCGCAGUAAGAC
rnacentral:rRNA from 1 species